rnacentral:rRNA from 1 species
GAUGAACGCUGGCGGCGUGCCUAAUACAUGCAAGUCGAGCGAACAGACGAUGAGCUUGCUCCUCUGACGUUAGCGGCGGACGGGUGAGUAACACGUGGAUAACCUACCUAUAAGACUGGGAUAACUUCGGGAAACCGGAGCUAAUACCGGAUAAUAUAUUGAACCGCAUUGUUCCAUAGUGAAAGACGGUUUUGCUGUCACUUAUAGAUGGAUCCGCGCCGCAUUAGCUAGUUGGUAAGGUAACGGCUUACCAAGGCAACGAUGCGUAGCAGACCUGAGAGGGGGAUCGGCCAAACUGGAACGGAGCAACGGUCCAGACUCCUACGGGAGGCAGAAGUAGGGAAUCUUCGGAAAUGGGAGAAAGCCGGACGGAGCAACGCCGCAUGAGUGAUGAAGGUCUUCGGAUCGUAAAACUCUGUUAUUAGGGAAGAACAAAUGUGUAAGUAACUAUGCACCUCUUGACGGUACCUAAUCAGAAAGCCACGGCUAACUACGUG